UCUUCCUUUCAUACCUAUCUCAUACUCUUAAAAAAAUCUUCUGCCUUAUCCUUUCCCUACAUGUGUAUGGCUAAACCAAUAUAAUUUACGUUAAGGUACGACUUGCUAGUGAAAUAUGUAAAUCUGUUUAUGCCUCCAUACACUUUUUCCGUACUUGGGACUGGCAUCUGAAGUGUUAGGCCCCCUACCCCCAUUCAUAUUCAAAAAAUUAAGAAAUUGUUUCUUUUCAUUUCUAAUUAGCUAUAGUUUUUCUAUUUUCCAAAGAAAGAAUUAAUUUUAAUGAGUGAUUAUCAAAAUAGGUGCUAUUGUAUUUUUGAUAUGAACUAUAACGAUCCAUGGAUGUUGUCACUAUUCUCUUGUACAAUAGAAUAAGCUUGAAAUAUUAGAUUAUAUAUAGUGUCAACAAUUGGUAUUAUUGAGAUACUUCCAUUGAAUGUUCAUUCAUGUUUGCAAUACUUUCUGGGAGUAGUAGAUCAUAUCGGUUCUGCCAUAUCAUGUUAGCAUAGAAAAUUCAAAUUUAUUUUGAGGAUAGUUUGCAGUGUACUAAUUUUCCAUCUGCUUAUGGUUAUCCAAAAAGGCUAGUAGCAUAUGUAAGUGUUUUUUUCGUUCCUAACUUUAGAAUAUUUUUGUGUUGACUAUGUUCUUGAUCACAUCAUCCUUGUUGUUAGUUCAUUUGCUAUAGAAAAGAAAAUAACAGGUGUGAUCAAGUCAGCAUGGUAUUACUUGCAAGUGUUUUGAGUAUCUCCUUUCUCUUAUGUCUCUCAAGAACUCCUUGAGCUUUAUGUUGAACACUUGGUCAACAAUAUCAGGUCUUUCUGAUGCAGCUUGGCCUACUUCUUGUAGCAUAGAAUGUAUCUCCGGCCAAGCUGUGUUGAACAUGAAUGUCACAAAUAGGUCUGUGUAUCCAGCUCACUCACAUAUUGCCAUAGCAUCUUGGUAGUUUUUUUUCUUUGUAUCUUGGGCUAUCUAUGAAGCUGGAUGGCACAUGGGAGUAGUAUUCUCUUUCAUACUUGCUCAUCCCUUGUAUCUCCUCUUUCUAUUGCCUCUUGCAAGCCAGCAUAUAAUUCCAUUCUUAGGUUUCCUUGGCGUCUUUUGAUCCAGUCCAGUUUGUACUGCAAAAUGCAUGCAAGGGCAUCCACACUAAACUGCAAUUUAAGCUUUUCACACACCAGGAAGUGUUUCGAUUGGUUAGUAUGGUGUUGUAUAUGACUCUCAAAGUAUUCCAACAUUGUUACAUGCUUUCUCUUGCAUUUUGCACCUUCUUUUAAUAUGUAAUGUGUAUUUUCUCUGUUCUUCUUUGUUGGGGAAUAAUAGUGGAUAUCGCAUAGCCAUGAAUUAUGAAUGGUUCUUUGAUAUUCUUCUCGGUGUAAUGUCUUUGUACUGUACAAUGAUAUACCGUCCUUUUCUAUUCCCUAUCGUAUCAUUCACAAUGAAGCCUGCAACUUUGGUUUACAUUCUAAUUGUUUUGCUAGUCUAUUAUCUCUACCCAACAUAUUUUAAGGCCCUCGACAAUGUGAUGAUCUGUUGACUCCCUUGUAUCUUCUGAUGCUGAUGUGUUAAUCCAGUUUUUACCUCAUUUGUAGGGUCAUAGGUGCAUAACUGCAUUGUGCAUGGUUUGGCUUUACCUUCAGAAAUAAAGGAGAUCAACUUCCAAUACUAGUGGGUAUUAAAUUCCAGUCUUCAUGUGAAAAUACGCAUACUAUGGUACCUACUGGAGGCUUGGUUGAUGGACCGAUGGCGCAAUCGAGGAUAUUGGGGCACUUGCUUAUAGAGUUCUUUUUCUUUGAGGGAAAGCCAUCAUGGUGGUGUAUAUUAAUUUGGAGUGAUAGCUACAUCGUCUGCAAAAACUAGAGUUAAAAAGCUGGAGGGUUGCCUAUGAUGGGUACAAGUCUAACCUAUCGUCAGUUUUUUUAUGGGAUCAUGAGAUUGGCGUAAAGAAUAUGUGAUGGACUGUAAGACUGAUUGUGAGAUUAGUAUAUAGGGUAUUAGGAACAAAAACAAAAGAGAAUACAUGCAAAUGAUUAGUGCAGGGUUGGAUUAUUUGGGAGAAGUGAUCAACCUACCUAUCUUGGCUUGGGUUGCUGCUCAUGUUGCAUAUUGUUGUGAGAUCCACAUUGGAGGGGCAACAUGUGUCUUCCGGCCCUAUUUGCCUGAGCCAAAAAAAGACCUUAGAGAGGAGGAAGGACGUAGGGGUGGAAGUCUUGAUGGCUCACCUGAGAGGAGGAAGGAUGUAUGCCUGGAAGCGUGGAUCUGA